GCCGACUUAGCUCAAUUGGUAGAGCAGCUGUAUCGUAAACAGCAGGUUAUCGGUUCAAGUCCGAUAGUCGGCUCCA
rnacentral:tRNA from 1 species